GGCUCCACUUCUGGUGGUGCAAUUCCGUCAAUUCCUUUAAGUUUCAGCUUUGCAACCAUACUUCCCCCGGAACCAAAUACAUUGGUUUCCCGGAAGCUGCCCGCCGAGUCAUUUGAGUAACUCAGGCGGAUCGCUGGUUGGCAUCGUUUAGGGUCAGAACUAGGGCGGUAUCUGAUCGGCUUCGAACCUCUGACAUUU
rnacentral:lncRNA from 1 species